GCCUGGCUGGCUGAGUCGGCAGAGCAUGCAACUCUUGAUCUCUGGGUCAUGAGUUCAAGUCCCAGGUUGGAUGC
rnacentral:tRNA from 1 species